AGCAACUGGGACAUCCCAGAAGACAUGCAAGGCACUGAGUAGCAUGGAUUCCUUCAACGAAUUGGAAGGACUUUACAAUCCACAAAGGCUGGACUAGAAUGCCACAGAUGACGGAGUUUCGCUCUUGUCCAUCAGCUUGGGAAGUGGCGAUGGAGACCAUUCUUUUGAAGCAUGGCCCUGUGGAGGAAGAAGGACCUGGUAUCCUCCUGUCAGAUGUGGGGAAUGGAUGCCCAAUGCCCCUGCCCUGACAUUUUUCCCAAAGAAAGCUUGGCCCACCCACUUCCAGACGAGAGCAUCUCCUUUCUGCUCUCAUGCAGGAAAGUUCUGUAACCUCUGUAACAACACAGGGCCUCCUCCACCACCUUCCCAGUCUCAGUUUGUGUGCGGUGCUAUAGUUCCCAGAUGGACGCAGAGUACAACUGUGAGCAUUACAAAACUCAGGCGCCGUCAGCCAUUUUAUGCCCUGGCCAUGGCUUCAGCUCCCAGGAUGAAGGACCAGAGAACAUCCCAGUGGUUCCCGGCUGCCAUCCCUUGCGCCUCUUCCCCACAUCUUUGAUGCAGAAGCAGCAGCCAAAGUUUCUUCUAAUUAAGAGAGCAGCUCAGAGAAAUAGGAGUCUUUGGCUGCUGCUUCUGAGCUAAGCUGGCUGGGACGGAGCCAAGAUGCCUGUACAGAGGCGAAGUGGGGAAACCUUCUAAGAUCAGGUAGGAGGAAAUGCCAGUUGAGUGCCCUAUAUUAUGGGAAUGCUUCCUUUCCAUGUCCCCCACCCUCAUGCGCCACAGGUGCUAGCAUGGCUGGGAGCCAGGUGCCUGCUGAUGUCUCCGUUUUCUUUGCAAGGAUGGAGCCUUUCCCCAGCGUUUAACUUCCUCUGGCCAAAUCCCUGGAGAGAUGUGACAAGCCUCAGG